GCCAAACAUUAACCAGUCCAUGUGUACACGCCAUCAGUGCAAAACAGCGUCGUUUCACUUCAAGAUUGCCUUUCUUUUGUAAGGUAAUUCUCUCCAUUAUUCCAAUGCCUAUAGAAGUGUCUCCUGAAAAAGGGAUAUUCUUGUAAUCCUUUCUUUCACCAUGCUGUCAUGCUUUUGUACUUAUGUUAUUCCUUUCUUGCACUAUACUGCCAUGCUUUUAUACCCAGGUUAAAAGAUUCCUUUUUUUUAAUUUUCUCCCUCUCACAUGAUUUCAUUCCCAUUUUUCUGAGAAAGCAUUUUGGUUUUUCUCCCUUUGAUUUGGUGGGUAAUGGUGAAUUCACUGUUGGCUUGCACUCGCAUGUACCCAUUAGCAUGAUCUCUAUAGUGAUGAGAGAGAUGGAGUGGUGAUUUUGAUUUGAGGUUUUGCUGAGGAGUUCUGGAACGUGAGGAGGGUUGGGUCAUUCAAGCAAUUCAUAGUAGUUCGAAAGUAGUGAAGUAACAUUUGCCGAUGCUUUUGAAAAAUCGACGGAUUAGUAGAUAUCUCCAUGGAUAUGAUCCUACUGAAGACGUUAGUUUGUCCCUUUUAAUUUCAGUUGCUUUGUGAAUAUCUGUGGCUAUUGUAACUAGCGUAGUCAGUAGUUACUUGAAAUCAAAAUCCAGAUAAUUCAAGUAGACACUGAUCAUAUCUUGGGUUCCUUUUAGAUUGCUUUCAAUGGUUUGAAUGAAGAUUUGAGAAAAGGGUGAUUUGUAGUGUGAGGUUUUUUUUUUUUUUAAAUUCCUCUGAUCAUUUUUCUAUGUUCUCACUAAAUCAGCUUUAUGGAAUUAUAGGCUGUUUUUCUUCUGUCAAAGAAUUUAACUUCUUGUUGUAUUUACUAUAAUAUAUUUAUCAUCAAUAAUCUUCAGUUGUGGUGCUAAUGGAUAGUGAAAAUAAUUAAAACCAAAUAUGUACCUGAAAAUGUCUUUCUGGGGAUUGGAAUUGUAGCAGAGAUCAAAUGGGGGAUACAAAAUUCUCUAUCAAAAGUGCACUUUAUUUUCUUUUUCUUCUUUUUGUUUCAAAAAUGCUUUAAUUAUCUUUUAAAAAAGUUGUGAAUUUAGCACCAGAAGAGACUUUGAUCAAUAAACUGUACAAAACAUGCUUUCACUGGAAAUCAAAAUUGUAACCAGCGAUGGGAUAGUGGAAGUAAACCAAAUAUGCACCUGAAUAUUUCUUUCUAGGGAUUGGAAUUGCAGCAUAUAUCUUCAUGGAUUCGAUCCUACUGGAGAAGUUAGUUUGUCCCUUUUAAUUUCAAUUGCUUUGUAGAUAUUUGUGCCUAUCGUAACCAACAUAGUUAGCAGUUGCCUAAAAUCAAAACCCAGAUAAUUCAAGUCUUGGGUUCUUUUUAGAUUGCUUUCAAGGAUUUGAACAAAAAUUUGACAAAAGGGUGAUUUGUACACUGUGUAUGAGGCAUUUUUUCUUAUUCCUCUGAUCAUCUUUAUGUGCUCUCACUGAACCAUCUUUAUGGAAUUAUAGCUUGCUUUUCUUCUAUCAAAGAAUUUAGCUUUUUGUUGUAUUUACUAUAAUAUGUUUAUCAUCGAUAAUCAAUAAUCUUCAGUUGUGGUGCUAAUGGGAUUGUUGCAUCUAUAAUAUGUUUAUGGAUUUGCUUUUGUUGAUUGUGUUGUUCUACAAUUUUGGGUUGGUUCUGUCAAUGAUGAAACUGCCACUACUGCUUCGGGGCAUUACUUAUGCAGGUAUGCCUUUUAAUUUUAUUGCUUAUAUAAAUGCCUAGCUGUAUUGUGCAAUACUAAAAUAAAAAAAAAAAAAUUUGAAUUCCUAUUGGAAUUUGAUUGUAGGUCUACAGAAGCAAAGCAGAGAUAAAAUGUAUACGUGUGUGUGUGUGUGUGUGUGUUCUUUUCUUUUGUAUAUGUUAAAAUUUUUAGUUUGUUUCAAGUUUCCAUAUUUCUAUGUUCCCGGAAUGGCCAAAGAAGCAUAGAAAGCACUCAGAAAGUAUACAUUAAUUGGUGAGUUUAGAGAAACUAUUUAGAUGCUCAGUUAAGAAGAGGUGCUCACCAGGUCUGAGCCUUUGACCUUCGUCUCACUUCUUCUUGGUGUCACAAACUCACUACCCAUGUUGUUCAAAGCAUCCAAGUUCUCACCUUUAUUUCCAAGUUCUCACCUUUAUUUUAUUUUCAUUGACUAAUUCAUGUUACAUGUACUAAUGCCAUGUUUUUACUUAAUUUUCUGAGGUGUUAAAGAAAAAUGAAUUUAAACUAAAUUGCUUGUGUAAUGAUAAUAGUCCACCAAGUUUAAAGUGUUCCAUGCCGUGCAGAGUUCAGAUUUAAUCAUUUUUAUGAACAUUUAUGGUUCAAUGUCUAUAUUUCUCUUAUAAA